AAACAACUCAGGCUCAUCCAUGGGUUUCUCGCCUGCUGUACCUCCCUUUCACUUGUCUACACUGACAGGUAGCUCAGGAUCUUCCCUUUCAGAUCAAGAAGACCAGCUAUCCAUGAAUACUUGUGAGAUUGAGCUGAGGAGUGGAAUGACAGAGCAGCUUUAGGGGGCAGCUCGAGUCCAGCCAGAGUCAACCCACACAGAAGCUGGUGUGGGCAGCCAAGCUGAAACAAAAAUGGAUGGAAGAGAAAAAGAUAGAAGACCUCGACCAGGAAUCUCUUGCUGAUGGAAAAUUGAGGUAUCUCUGUGGUAAGAAGAUCAUAUUGUCCUGCUGACAGAUCAUGCAUGUGAAGUAGAAGAGCUGAUACAGGACAGUGAAACCAGCAAUGAACCUGAGAAAAUUGAGAAGGCGCAGCUGGAAUAUAAAUGGACCCAAAGCAGCCUCUGACAAGGAAAGGCAAAAGCAAAGAAAGGAAAACAAGCAGGGGAACAGAAAAAUGCUGAAAGUAAUAGUAACCCCCACAAACAUAGGAUGCUUCCUCCAGAAUGUGUGCAUGAGGGUUUGAACAUGUAUUUAUCUGUCAUCAGAUUAGCAAGAACAUGAGCCAGAAUAAUGCUGAUACAAAUUACAAAGGUACCAAAGUGCAUGUUUUAUCUAUGACAGGUUAUAUCCUCAUUCAGAGGUAUUUAAAUCCUGAUUAAAUGGGACCCUGAAACAUCUGUGGAGAGUCAAAUUGAAUCAUCCUUCAGGGGGACAAGCACUACAUGUUUUCAUUACAUUUCAAUUAUGUAGCCUGUCCAGAUCUUAAGGAUUUACACUGUUUUUUUAAUCAUAUAUUUCUUUAGAGCUGGACAGAGAUGUAAUGAUGAUGCUAGUGCAGUAGACAAAUGUUGACAAAAAUAAACAGCAAAAUUUGAAGCAAUCCAUUCAUUAGACUACCUAUGGAUGAAAAAAUGUGUUGUUUUCUUUUUUAAUGACUGACAAAGACACUGAUUCCUGAAAGCUGUGUUUUAGAACUGUUGAUUAAAUCUCCUACAAGUGAAAACUGUCGGAUAAAUCUCCUACAUGUGUUUACCUGAGUAGUGCAUCAAAGAGCCACAGUAGCUCGGAUCUGAUUCUGAAUGUGAAAAAAAAAAAGAAAAAGAAAGUGUUUUUAGAAAGCCUGGAGCCUUUGUAAUGAAAUGUGGAAAAUGCUUAGAGAAGUGGAGGGUAAUCUGGUGAAAAGCCAGAUGAACUCAAGAUACUGAGGGAAAGAUUGAUCACGAAGCAGAAUUGCAGAGAAGGGAGAUGAAACACUAGAAGCAGAUAAGUUUAUCUAGUGAAUGUAUAGAGGAAGAAAGCAAAGAAGAUAACAGAUCUAGAGACAAAGACAAUGAGAUGGUAGCUGAAGAGGAAGGCUGAGAGAUGAUUUUUUUCCUCAGAGGUUCAACGACAAUACUGUAUUCUUCUGAUGCUGGCAAGGUGAUGGUGCAAAAGUAGUUACUGCAGCAGGUAGGAGAAGAAUCACAAUGCCUUGUUAGUUUUGCAAUUAGACCAGCAGAUUGAUACUCCUGAGACCUGCAAUUUCCCUUCUCGGUUAUGUUUGAAACCUUGGUUUCCUUGGGCAAGGCAAUUACCCCUCUCUGGUAAAUAAGGCAGAAAGGAUGAGAAAAGCUGAAGAAGCUGCCAAAAGGCCUGAUAGCAGGCACUAAAAGUGAUUACUUACAAAUACAUAUUGGGGUUCUUUUGUUUCCUUUCUGAUCCCAUCAAGAGCACUCAAGGCACAUUUCAGCUUAUUUUUUAUUUAUUCCCUUGAAUCUUCUUACUUCAGAAGAAACUGGUUAUUCUCACCCAAGAGCCUGGGCUCUUUGAAAAGCACCAGCUCUCAUCAGACUUUUGAUAAAAUCAUAAGAGCCAGAAACAUUGAAAGUUCCUUUUGUAUUAAUAACCUCUCUUUCAUUAAUACUUACUUUUCAUUUGAAUAAUUAUCAUAAAUAAAAAUUAAAACCUUAUGUUUGUGGGGAGUGUGAGCAGCCUUGGGAUUAAAAUGAGUGACAUCCCUCAAAAAUGAAGGCUGUUAGAGGGUUAUUUUUCUUACAAGCGGAGCUGUUUCUGCAAGAGCAUUCUGAGUCUGGCGUACUACCAGACCAAGAAAACACAGGAGAUAAAUUCUGCAAAUGAGAAGCAGAACUGGGAAAAAGAUUGUUUGAUUCAUCUACAACAAAAAUUGUGUAGCUUUAACUAUUAAUACUAUGAAAAUGAUGGAGUUUCUAAUACCAUUAAUGAUUCUUUUAAGCAGUGGGUUUAAAUUAUAGUUCUUCUUCAUUUAAUUUUCAUUAUUUGCUAUUUGCCUGUGCAAACAAGACACGGUUUUCAGCAAUGGUUUGCUGAGAAGCUUGGGAAGACAUGCAGGACUGUGAUAUAUCACACCCAUGACAAUGUAAACCACAGAAAAAUAUGAACAAAGGCAAGACAAAUGUACCCUCUAGAGCACUAAAGUUACAGAAUGCCUGGAGAUGAAGAACAGCUAAUUUACGGUAAAAUGGGCCAUAAUUUGGAGAAAAUGGCUAAGUUUGAUUUAUAAUUUGCAGGUAAAAUGUAUGAACUCUGUGUCUAUCAAACUAGAGCUCCAUACUAAAGCUAACUGCUCUCCUGGACUGUUUUUAUUUUUUAAUAUAUAUAUAUAUAUAUGGAGAUAACCACAAGCAUUUAUUAAACUUGAUAACUUUACAUUCAAAGAGAGCUCCUGCUCUUUUUAGAUGUGGCCUAUAUUUCUUCCCACAUAAGACAUCAAUUAAGCACCCGAAACAGAAAUGUUGUCAGUGGCAAGACCGAGGCAUCACCUGCCAUUUUAGAGAACACGACACUGUGCUUAGAUGCCAAACCACAAACAAAUCUUAACAGUAGGGAAAUUGUGUUAAGGAAUGAGGCACACAUAUUUUGUUGUGUUGUCUUGAACUGUUUGUUGUGUUAUUUAAAACAAAGUGUAAUUGUUGGUUAAAGUGCUCGAAUACUCCAUGUAAUUACACUUGGACUCUGUUGGGUGCAGCUGAGCCACAGAGGUAUCUGGAAGGGUGUGAAGUGUGCUUGGGUUUCAACGCUGAUGGAGGGGUCAGCACUAGCAGGGAGAAGAAGAAGCCAGACCAAGUCCUGGGUCGUUAUAUUAUUUACACCUCUGUGAACUGAGUGACAAUAGAGAUCUGUGCCCGAAGUGGGCAGUGUAAUAGUAUCAUGUCUUGAGAAGAUGGUUUUCUACCUCUUUGUCCUCCUGCUCUGUCUUAAUUUACACACACAGUGUGUGUACCUGAUUCGCAGAGGGUGGGUUACAUACAAAUAAUACCUAUGGUUGAUGAAAAAUUGGACAUGAGCCAGCAAAGUGCGCUUGCAGCCCAGAAAGCCAACCAAAUCCUGGGCAGCAUCAAAAGGAGCGCGGCCAGCAGG